ACUCAGGGAUACUUAGUACGGCGAGUGAGCGGUAAAAGCUCAAAUUUGAAAUCUGGUACUUUCAGUGCCCGAGUUGUAAUUUGUAGAAUUUGUCUUUGAUUAGGUCCUUGUCUAUGUUCCUUGGAACAGGACGUCAUAGAGGGUGAGAAUCCCGUUUGGCGAGGAUACCUUUUCUCUGUAAGACUUUUUCGAAGAGUCGAGUUGUUUGGGAAUGCAGCUCAAAGUGGGUGGUAAAUUCCAUCUAAAGCUAAAUAUUGGCGAGAGACCGAUAGCGAACAAGUACAGUGAUGGAAAGAUGAAAAGAACUUUGAAAAGAGAGUGAAAAAGUACGUGAAAUUGUUGAAAGGGAAGGGCAUUUGAUCAGACAUGGUGUUUUUUGCAUGCACUCGCCUCUCGUGGGCUUGGGCCUCUCAAAAAUUUCACUGGGCCAACAUCAAUUCUGGCAGCAGGAUAAAUCAUUAAGAAUGUAGCUACUUCGGUAGUGUUAUAGCUUUUUGGAAUACUGUUAGCCGGGAUUGAGGACUGCGCUUCGGCAAGGAUGUUGGCAUAAUGGUUAAAUGCCGCCCGUCUUG
rnacentral:rRNA from 1 species